AGCUUGAUGGGCAGACCAAGUCUGAAAAUGAUACAGGAGGUUGAAACGAGAUGGAACAGCACAUUCGACAUGCUACAACGCUUGUAUGAGCAACGUGAGCCAGUGGCUGCUGCACUUGCCAAUUUAAACAGUGAUACUGCUCCCCUGACAAGUCUUGAGUAUGACAUUAUUCAACAGUCAUUGACACUUCUUCAACCAUUCAAACUAGCAACAACAGAGAUGUCAGAGGAACAGAGAGUGUCUGCUUCAAAGCUCAUACCAUUGUACAGGAUGUUGCAGCACAAGCUUGCACAGAAAAAGGAAAUGCAACGCAGGAAUCAACUGUACAAUUAGGCUCACAUCUACAAGAAGGUCUGCACUCCAGAUGUGGAGGGUACGAGACUUUUAGAGCCUUGGCACUGGCUACACUGCUGGACCCAAGGUUUAAAAAUGUGGCUUUUGGAAAUCCUGCCAAAGCCCUGGAUGCUGAAAAGCACAUCACACUGGAGUGUGCUUCACUGAUGCGUUCAAACACAACUCCUGAACCACAAAUGUCAACAUCAGGCCCAUCAUCAACACCAGUUGAAACACAAGACAGUUUAUGGGAACAUUUUGACAAUCGUAUCCGUGAGACCCAGAUGAUACACAAUCCUACAGCUGAUGCCACAGUGGAAGUGAAAAAAUACCUCAGCGAUGCGUUUUUGCCCAGAACUCAUGAUCCUCUAACUUACUGGAAAGAGAGAGCAGUAAUCUUUCCUCAUUUGUAUGUCCUAGCUAAAAAAUAUCUUUGUAUGCCAGCAACAAGUGUCCCUUGUGAGAGAAUUUUUUCAAAGGCUGG